UUGUCCUGAUGAUGCCAGCACUGGGCUCUGACUCCUGCUGAUUCCUUGUUGCCCCUCUGAUUUGACAUGCAGAGGGACUGAGGGACAC